GCUUCUGCCCUACGCACGAGUUCCACUAAUCAAGUUUUGAGCGGAUUCGAAAGUCGAAAACUUGACACGUUGAGCUCGUCCGUGGGGCGGCAUUCAAGCCAGAAGAGC
rnacentral:miRNA from 11 species